rnacentral:rRNA from 1 species
GACGAACGCUGGCGGCGUGCUUAACACAUGCAAGUCGAACGGUGAAGCCCUUCGGGGUGGAUCAGUGGCGAACGGGUGAGUAACACGUGGGAAAUCUGCCCUGCACUCUGGGACAAGCCUUGGAAACGAGGUCUAAUACCGGAUAUGACCUUCUCCUGCAUGGGGGUUGGUGGAAAGCUCCGGCGGUGCAGGAUGAUCCCGCGGCCUAUCAGCUUGUUGGUGGGGUAAUGGCCUACCAAGGCGACGACGGGUAGCCGGCCUGAGAGGGCGACCGGCGACACUGGGACUGAGACACGGCCCAGACUCCUACGGGAGGCAGCAGUGGGGAAUAUUGCACAAUGGGCGGAAGCCUGAUGCAGCGACGCCGCGUGAGGGAUGACGGCCUUCGGGUUGUAAACCUCUUUCAGCAGGGAAGAAGCGCAAGUGACGGUACCUGCAGAAGAAGCACCGGCUAACUACGUGCCAGCCGCCGCAGUAAUAC